CAGUAGCCGCGGUAAAACGGAGGGUGCAAGCGUUAAUCGGAAUUACUGGGCGUAAAGCGUGCGUAGGCGGUGAGUUAAGUCUGCUGUGAAAUCCCCGGGCUCAACCUGGGAAUGGCAGUGGAUACUGGCUCGCUAGAGUGUGUCAGAGGAUGGUGGAAUUCCCGGUGUAGCGGUGAAAUGCGUAGAGAUCGGGAGGAACAUCAGUGGCGAAGGCGGCCAUCUGGGACAACACUGACGCUGAGGCACGAAAGCGUGGGGAGCAAACAGGAUUAGAUACCCCCGUAGUCCCUGUCUCUUAUAC
rnacentral:rRNA from 1 species